ensembl:lncRNA
CUCUUUCUGGAGAUCCCUCCUUUUAGAGUUUUCUACUGAGAGCCUAGAAUAUGGGGAAUACUGGAGUCUGAAGGAGUUGCUGGAGUUUUGUACGCACAGGUCGCUUAGCUCCUAGAAACCUUGAAUUACCGUGGCCUGGUUGAGAGUGUGGGUAGAUGCUGAAAUCGGUGCACUGCCUGACAGCCCAGCAUUAGCAUCUGUGAAUCCAUUGGGAAUGAGGCUUCAUGCAGCAAAAAUCCAGAAUCACUAAGCUGGCUGCAUGUACAACUUUAGAUUCAAUCAAAGGGUAGUCAGCCGUGGCUCCACGUGACUCAGGUUUCAGGAAACUUCAGAAACUCUACUCUUUCCAGCGUAGGAGUUACUACAUCAAAGUACUGCCAUUUGUGUGCUGUAUAACUAAAUGAAAUGUUAAUAUAUAAACCUGAAUUGAAUUCUUCUUUUAAGCAGAAAGGGAGAGGCUCUCCCUUGGGCAUGGCACAAGCUCACUGAAGUCCCAGUAUCUCUGGCCAAGUCGUGGAUAGACUUGUCUCUUCCUGCUCAAGGCAAUGGAGUACUAUGUGCUGAGGUACUUCCGAGAGACAUUCUGACCCACUGCUGCUUGGCUGCAGGUGUUCUGGCAUUUGGACAAAGGCAGUUGUUCUGCUUCAGAAACAAGUUCACAUCUUAAUACUCACAAUGGACCAUAUUCCCCAUAGGAAUCCACUGAAUAUUGUGCCUUCAGGAGGGAUUAACACUCACUAAUCCUCCAUUCAGGACAAAAAAAAAAAAGUCUUAGGUGUUUGCCAAGGACCUAUAAGCCAGUUUCUUUUCCUUUUUUUUUUCCCCUCAUCUUUUUUAAAUAAAUAAAUCCUCCCCAAAAUUAUGAAAGCAGAUCCAAGCAAUCGCAGUGACUCAGCUGUAGAGCUACAAGCAGUUCACGUUGCAGAUUAAAUCUGUGGUAGGUAAUAUCAUUUUGCUGCGCAGUGAAAAUGAAAAAUGACUCCUUCCGUAUUUGCUGUGUGCAAAGUGCCAUAUGCAAAGUUUUAUACCAAGCCAGAGCAGUUUCUAGAAGAGGAAAGAGAGGAAGUGACAUCUUCAGAUAGUUUAAGAGACCAUUCCCACCUAUGCCUUGCUUUAACAGUGGAGUGCUCUGGGCUGGGUGUAUCAGCAGAGAGAAAAAAGAAGAUAUUCCCAAAAUAAGUAAAUUACAGGACAUUCGUUCACAGCUGGAUGUUGCAGGGACUGGGAUUUUAUUUCUUAUCUAAACUGCGAUAUUUUUUGACUGGAAAUAAAACCAACAUAAUUUUUUUUUUUAACUGAACCUCAAGCGGAGUGACCAAAACUGCAGCUGCUGCUCCUGUGCAGUAAAGUAUUGAAGAGUUAACAAAAGGUUUAAACUGAUUAAGUGCUAGCACAGAGUACUGAAUUCCAAAUACCAGUAUGUUAAUUAAAAUAUUACGUUUACCG